rnacentral:rRNA from 1 species
GACGAACGCUGGCGGCGUGCUUAACACAUGCAAGUCGAACGGAAAGGCCCUGCUUUUGUGGGGUGCUCGAGUGGCGAACGGGUGAGUAACACGUGAGUAACCUGCCCUUGACUUUGGGAUAACUUCAGGAAACUGGGGCUAAUACCGGAUAGGAGCUCCUGCUGCAUGGUGGGGGUUGGAAAGUUUCGGCGGUUGGGGAUGGACUCGCGGCUUAUCAGCUUGUUGGUGGGGUAGUGGCUUACCAAGGCUUUGACGGGUAGCCCGCCUGAGAGGGUGACCGGCGGCAAGGGGACUGAGGUACGGCCCAGAAGGGUACGGGAGGCAGCAGGGGAGAGUAUGGCGCAGUGGCGGGGAGCGUGAUGCGGAGGCCCUGCGUUCGGAAAGACGGGUGUCGAGUGAAAAACAAAUGUCGACGGUAACAAACCGGGAGUGACGGUACUGGAUAAGAAAGCCCCGGCUAACUACGUG